AGAGUUUGAUCCUGGCUCAGGAUGAACGCUGGCGGCGUGCUUAACACAUGCAAGUCGAACGAAGCAUUUGCAACAGAUUUCUUCGGGAUGAAGUUGCUUAUGACUGAGUGGCGGACGGGUGAGUAACGCGUGGGUAACCUGCCUUGUACUGGGGGAUAGCAGCUGGAAACGGCUGGUAAUACCGCAUAAGCGCACAAUGUUGCAUGACAUGGUGUGAAAAACUCCGGUGGUAUAAGAUGGACCCGCGUCUGAUUAGCUAGUUGGUGAGAUAACAGCCCACCAAGGCGACGAUCAGUAGCCGACCUGAGAGGGUGACCGGCCACAUUGGGACUGAGACACGGCCCAGACUCCUACGGGAGGCAGCAGUGGGGAAUAUUGCACAAUGGAGGAAACUCUGAUGCAGCGACGCCGCGUGAGUGAAGAAGUAGUUCGCUAUGUAAAGCUCUAUCAGCAGGGAAGAUAGUGACGGUACCUGACUAAGAAGCUCCGGCUAAAUACGUGCCAGCAGCCGCGGUAAUACGUAUGGAGCAAGCGUUAUCCGGAUUUACUGGGUGUAAAGGGAGUGUAGGUGGCCAUGCAAGUCAGAAGUGAAAAUCCGGGGCUCAACCCCGGAACUGCUUUUGAAACUGUAAGGCUAGAGUGCAGGAGGGGUGAGUGGAAUUCCUAGUGUAGCGGUGAAAUGCGUAGAUAUUAGGAGGAACACCAGUGGCGAAGGCGGCUUGCUGGACUGUAACUGACACUGAGGCUCGAAAGCGUGGGGAGCAAACAGGAUUAGAUACCCUGGUAGUCCACGCCGUAAACG
rnacentral:rRNA from 1 species